rnacentral:rRNA from 1 species
UACGAAGGGGGCUAGCGUUGCUCGGAAUCACUGGGCGUAAAGGGUGCGUAGGCGGGUCUUUUAAGUCAGGGGUGAAAUCCUGGAGCUCAACUCCAGAACUGCCUUUGAUACUGAAGAUCUUGAGUACGGGAGAGGUGAGUGGAACUCCGAGUGUAGAGGUGAAAUUCGUAGAUAUUCGGAAGAACACCAGUGGCGAAGGCGACUCACUGGCCCGUUACUGACGCUGAGGCGCGAAAGCGUGGGGAGCAAACAGGG